ACUCAAAGGAAUUGACGGGGGCCCGCACAAGCAGCGGAGCGUGUGGUUUAAUUCGAUGCAACGCGCAGAACCUUACCGGGGUUUGACAUGCACGGGAAAGCGGCAGAGAUGUCGCCCUCCUUCGGGACUCGUGCACAGGUGCUGCAUGGCUGUCGUCAGCUCGUGCCGUGAGGUGUUGGGUUAAGUCCCGCAACGAGCGCAACCCUCGCCGCUAGUUGCUAUUUCUAGCGGGACCGCUGCGCAAAACGCAGAGGAAGGUGGGGAUGACGUCAAGUCAUCAUGGCCUUUAUGCCCCGGGCUACACACACGCUACAAUGGGCGGUACAGACGGUUGCCAAGCCGCGAGGUGGAGCCAAUCCGACAAAGCCGUCCCCAGUACAGAUUGCAGGCUGCAACUCGCCUGCAUGAAGGUGGAGUUGCUAGUAACCGCAGGUCAGCACACUGCGGUGAAUACGUUCCCGGGCCUUGUACACACCGCCCGU
rnacentral:rRNA from 1 species